AACUGGCAUCCAUUUAAGAUCAUCACAGUUGAAGGCUGUGAGGACCAUAAGGAAAUUAUCAAUGAAGAGGAUGAAAAACUGAAAGGUCUGAAAAAUGAGUGUGGUGAUGAGGUAUACUCUGCUAUGACAAGUGCCCUGAUGGAGAUGAAUGAGUAUAACCCCAGUGGAAGGUACACGGUACCAGGCUAUGGAAUUUCAAACAAGGAAAGAAAGCAACAUUGAGGGAAGUACUCUCUUAUAUUCUGAAGCAGUGGAAAAUGCACAAGAGGAGGAAGAACUAGAGGAUAUCAGUAGCUGGCUUUUUUGGACAUGGAGGUGGCAUCUUUUGUUGGGCUUUGGGAGCAACUUCAAUUUAUCUGAAGUAAUUUUUUUUAAUUAAAAUUUAAGCCCUCAUCUUUUU